AGCAUGGAAAGCAUUUGUGUAGUUCCGGCGCUGAGCAGCAGGCAAAGUAGCAUCAGCUUGCAUACGAAUGAGUGCUAAAUCUGCUGGACUUCCAACAGAUGCUCCAAUGGCACCAGCGGUUAGCCCACACAAGGCUUUCUGGUAUAGAGGUAGGGGCUUCCCAUCAUUGGCCUCAAUUGCUUUGUUUGUCAGAAUCCUAAACAGGUUUAUCAAAUUCAGAUUAACAAGAUGAUAAAACAACAAUUUACAUAUAAAUCAUCAUGUGAUACUUAAAAAGAUCUACAAAACCAAACUAAACAAAAGCAAAUCUAUCACUAAAACAAUUCAAAUGCUUUCAAAAGCUCACUUAAAGUCUGGAUUUUGCAAAAGACUCACCUGAAUGAUCCAAGACGAGCUGUGGUAUAUGUAGCUUGUCUUAGUAGUCCAGCAGAGAGUCCCUGCUCAUAGAAUUUCAGUUUAGAUAAACUAUCAUUUUAACACGUAAACUCAAGUCAAUCAAUCAGCACAUACAACAUCAAGAACUUUAAGUCAAUAAAAAACAUUCUUCUACAUUCCGAACCUCAAAUCUGACAAUACCAUAAAUUGCAUUAGGAUUCGGGAAUCAGAGAGAAAGGGUUUGGAAUACAAUUUUAAGUUUAAAUUGGUUGGAUGUGAUAUGAAAGACAACACUUUUUAGUCAAAUACAUGGAUGAACUAAAACUUCAGUAGAUAUAACGCCUUGGUAAAAUGUGUGAUUCGAAAGCCUAUAUCAAGUGAUCAUUCUGAAAGAACUUAUCUUUAACAAAUCUUUACCGGUACAAAUUCAAAUCUAAACACCUUACAAGCAUCACUUGAUUUGAAAUAUCAUUCAACACUGGAUCAACAAGAUAUAUGAAAAGUACUCAAAUUCUAAUCACAUUUUAAGAAGUAUACCUUAUACAAAGCACCAACACCUUCCUCUUUAAUCAUGGUCCUGGUGACCUGGGCAGCUGAUCCCUGACCCAAUUGAAUUCUCACCUGUACCAGCCAAGAUAACAAGAACCCAGAAAGCAUGAGUUCCAAUUAACCAAAUUAUAGUACAAAUCAAAACAAAAACUUUCAGAAAAAUAAAAAAAAACUAAAAAAUCCCAGAUCUAAAAAUCAUCAAGGAACCCCGAUUUCAGCUCAAAAAUUGAAGUGGAAAUCAAUAAAAACGAAAGCAAAAAAACAUGGGUUCAAUCCAAAUCUCAAAAAUGUAAAAAAAGAUUCAAACUUUAACAGUCCAAAAACUCACCUUGAUCAUAUCGAUUGGCUGGAUGACACAGGUAGCAAGCAUACCAGAGGCUCCGCCAUUGACGAAGGGCUUAAUGGUUGGCCAAACACCAGAUUUGGGCGUACCUUUGUCUCCCAUAAUUUGGAUUGGAAAUGAAGAAGUGAGGAGCUCGAAGAAGGGAGAGAAAGGGCGGAGGCUGCU
rnacentral:lncRNA from 1 species